ACAUCAUAGAAGGCUGUAUUAUGAUCAUCUACAUCACCUCUAUCAACACCAUGCUGCUAAACUGUGUGUGUAUUUGCAGAUUAGAGCUGUUUUCUGUAUUCUAAGGAAUAAACCUGCCUGAAUACAGAGUGAAAUGAAGAUCAGCUUAUCCUUUUAAAAAGGAUUCAGUGAUGGCAACUUCUCAGCUCCCCCAGAAACACUGGAAUGAAACAGCAGGCUUUCUUGAGAAAGGACGAAAUCAUGUAAACAAAGCAUCAAAAACCUCACCAGGAAGCAUUAAACUUCUGAAAACUAGAAAGAAAUUAACUGUAAUUGCCAGCCUACUGGGGAGGUUAUUAUCAGAGCCUCUUAAAUACUGCCUGUACUUUUGCAAGAAAACACACUUUUUUCCCUUUGGAGAUUAAGUCUGCAGAAGUGGCCACCUAUGCCUGUGCUUAUCUACUUCUGGAGAAUUCCUGUAGUCAGGUAUUAUACAGAGAGAUAAACUAUAGCAUUGAUUGCAGUUUAACUCAAUAUAUGAUAUGUGUAAGCACCAACAACUUGUGGCAUGACAGACACAGACCAUGGACAACGUGGUGCCGUGCUAAGCCAGGGGCUUGCUGCCUUGUGAGAUGCAACUUCUUGUGUAAAGGCUGCUGGAUGCAAGUAUGCUUCUGCUGCAGCUUAGGGCUGCUGCCACAUCACUGUGAUAGUGAAGUCCCACAUGCUGGACAUUCGCACAUUCUUUGAGAACUACUACUUCAGUUGUGCCAUGUAAACUUGAUGCUGUCACUUCCACGCUCUGGCUACAGACUCUCACCUUGUUUUUUAAGCUAAUCCAGCUUUCCUCAGACAUAUUCUAACACUCUGUGAAGUGCUGCUAUAAUUAUCCCAAGUACAGACCGAGAUUUCAGUGUUUCAGUUGCUUAUGCAUACUAUCUUUGGCAAAACUUGAUGCGCAUCCUUAAUCUGCUCCCUCCAGAAGGGUUUUGUUUUAUAUGGUCUUUCAAGAAAGAGUCGAGUACUGAAACACAGCAAGUGAUAAACUGCUCUGGGUGUAUGCCUAAAUAAAAUAAUGAGCUACAUUGGCUCAGAUGAUGCUAAUGGUGGGUACAGAUCAUUAAAUUUACCAAUAGUCUGAUCAUAGCCAUAUAAAGGUAAUUGUCAAAAUGCUUUUCUGUUGCAUUUCUAAGGCUGCAUAAAGGUAAUUCUGUAACAAUUUCAAUUGCACAGAACUGUAGUUUCAUUUUGAGAUUACAUUUUCUUCUCAAUUCGUGAAAAUUUAAAUGAGGUUCCAUUCAUUUUCCUUUUUCUCUUCUGUAGAUUUGAAAACUCAUUUCGCCAUUGCCAGUUCCUUAAUGUUAGUUUUCUCCCCAUACAUGUGGUGCUGCUAUUACACUUGUUCGCAGGUACUUUAACAGAUGGAUUAAAGCAGGUGGACGAGCUUUCUCUCUUUCUUUCCACCCCCUUAGUCUCUAAAUAAGGAUAAGUUUCUUGCAUGUAGUGAACUCUGUGUACUUUGUAUGGGGAAAAGAAAUCAAAUUCUUUCAUAAAAUAAUUAUUUAGCAGGAAUUAGUAAUUUCUACCUGAAAAAAAUUAAGGUUCUAAACAUCUGAAAUAGAAGUUGACUUGGAAAAUUUAUAAAUCAAUAUAGGAUGUGUUUUUCUUCCACGGAACAAUAGAAAACAAUUGAAAUUUUUAAGAAACACUUCAUCAACUUUUAGUAUUGCCAGCACAUUUCAAAACUUGACACUAUAUUUAUUCCACUUAAAAAUACUGCUAACCUAAAGCUGUGCAAAAACCUCAUACUUUUGUUGCCCGUAAAUUCAGGCAUAUACCACUGAAGUGCUCCUGUUUCACUCCAUAGAGAGAAGUAGUAAAGCCAGCAACAUCCUUCAUCCAAGGCACUUCAGGCACUAGUGGACAGCUGUGCAUGUAAGGUACAUUUUCAAAUAUCUCAGCUGCUUUUUUUCACUGAAUGCAUCAUAUUCCAAGCAGAAACAGAUGUGACUGAUUUUCUGCUCCAGCCAGUCAAAAGCAUUUUGUAUGGCAAAGCCUGGGAUGAAGCUGCAGGAAGCUGAGCAUUGUCACAUUGCCAGAGGCUGCCUUUUCAACUACUGGGAAAAAAAGCAGCUGGGAUGAGCCACUUCCAUAUCUGCUUAAGGGAAACAGCAGUGUAAGCAAAAAAUUUAAGUAGAGGCUAAAGAUUGAUACAAUUGAGUUGGUUUUGUUGUUGUUAUUUGCUUGUUUUAGCAAAGUUCUGCAAAAGAAAAUGGAAAAAGAUGUCAUAACAGGUGAUAACAAAGGGUUUUGGGAAGGGCCCUGUCUAGAGGGGCUUGAAAUGAAACAGACCUUUCUCAGUCCGUGCUCCUUGUGAAGAAAAAAGGCGUUUAUUUAUUU